rnacentral:lncRNA from 1 species
CUGCAUGUGGGCCUCCGGUCUGCUGCGGGCAUGUCCAGGCAAGACAAGUCCAGCUUCCCUUAUCUGCACAUAACAUCUGGUGUAAACACUUGUGGAGCUGGUUGGAGAUUCUCCGGGGACCCUUCCGUAUCUGCCUAGGCAUUUUGCUGUCUCCUCCUAAUACGUUUGAUAAUCUUAUGGCGGAGAAGGAAGCUGUAUCUUCAAAAUGUGUCAAUUUGGCUAAAGAGAAUCAAGUUUUUCAACAGGAGUUAUCUAUGAAAAAAGCACAACAGGAAUGUGAAAAAUUUGAGGAGGAUAAAAGAUGUUGGAAGAAGAAAUAUUAAAUCUUAAGACACAUAUGGAAAACAGUAUGGUAGAACUUAGUAAACUACAAGAAUAUAAAUCAGAGCUAGAUGAAAGGGCAAUGCAGGCAGUAGAAAAAUUAGACGAAAUACAUUUACAGGUGAGUUGUUUAAAUCAG